GGAGCGGUAGUUCAGUUGGUUAGAAUACCGGCCUGUCACGCCGGGGGUUGCGGGUUCGAGUCCCGUCCGCUCCG
rnacentral:tRNA from 1 species